rnacentral:rRNA from 1 species
UGGUGGAGCAUGUGGUUUAAUUCGAAGCAACGCGAAGAACCUUACCAGGUCUUGACAUCCUUUGACCACUCGAGAGAUCGAGCUUUCCCUUCGGGGACAAAGUGACAGGUGGUGCAUGGUUGUCGUCAGCUCGUGUCGUGAGAUGUUGGGUUAAGUCCCGCAACGAGCGCAACCCUUAUUACUAGUUGCCAGCAUUCAGUUGGGCACUCUAGUGAGACUGCCGGUGACAAACCGGAGGAAGGUGGGGAUGACGUCAAAUCAUCAUGCCCCUUAUGACCUGGGCUACACACGUGCUACAAUGGAUGGUACAACGAGUCGCGAAGUCGUGAGGCCAAGCUAAUCUCUUAAAGCCAUUCUCAGUUCGGAUUGUAGGCUGCAACUCGCCUACANGAAGCCGGAAUCC